rnacentral:rRNA from 1 species
UACGUAGGGUGCAAGCGUUAAUCGGAAUUACUGGGCGUAAAGCGUGCGCAGGCGGCUUUGUAAGUUUGUCGUGAAAUCCCCCGGGCUCAACCUGGGAAUUGCGAUGAAGACUGCAAGGCUAGAAUCUGGCAGAGGGGGGUAGAAUUCCACGUGUAGCAGUGAAAUGCGUAGAGAUGUGGAGGAACACCGAUGGCGAAGGCAGCCCCCUGGGUCAAGAUUGACGCUCAUGCA